AUAAUAAUAGAGCGAUCUUUAGAUCGCUCAUUUAUCGAUACUUCUAUUACACUUUUGGUUUGGCCGCUGAUCAGUAGUAGAAGACGAACACUGGCGUUACGCAUAGCUGGCUGUUAGUGAGGUUCCUUACGCCGUUUACACUAACAGUUUUGUAACUCAAGCCUAAGCAUCUGCUUAGGCUUUUUUGU
rnacentral:sRNA from 1 species